ensembl:lncRNA
ACGCACACAGACGCACACACACACACACAGACGCACACACACACACGCACACACACACACACAGACACACACACACACACACACACACAGACGCACACACACAGACACACACACACACACACACACACAGACGCACACACACAGACACACACAGACGCACACACACACACACACACACACACACAGACACACACACACACACACACACACACAGACGCACACACACAGACACACACAGACGCACACACACACACACAGACGCACACACACACACACACACACACACACACACACAGACGCACACACACACACACACACACACACAGCUGAUGGAUGUUUGCGAUGGCGUCGGACUCUCGGUGGUUCUGGUUCGUCCGUCAGCAGGUUGGGGGCGUCGCCAGCGUUGCUUAGUGACCAAAUGAUGUGCAGCUAUUUUUUAACCUAUUUAGAGAAGUGGCAUGUUUGUUCUUAACUAAAUGAAAAGUGUAGAAAUCAUCUUUCAGGACAUGUAUGUUGGACAGAAAAUGACGGAUGGAGGCGACUCUUGCUGGACUCUUCGGAGGUUUUUGAACCAAAAGACGACAGAAGGAAUGAUGGGACAUUUUACUGAUCUUCUCCACUUCAGUGUUUGUACCAACGUUGAGUAUUAGCAUCCACCAGCAACAGGUUGAACAUUAAUCUGCACCGCAACACGUGAAUAUUUAACACCUUUAGCUGCUUAAACCCACACAGCCGUCGAUAUACGUCUGAACCGGAUUUAUUGAUGACCAAGUACAGAUAAAUCACAGCUGAUCAAUACAUGCAGCUCACUGUAGCGGCUGUAGAGAAACUUCAAUUUAUGGGAUUCACAUUCAUUUUCAGUAACUUUUCAUCGCAAUUAGUUACUUUGAGUGAUUCAGAUUCAGUUUGCAGUGACAGAUGUGUGUCUCAGGAAAUUCAUUUGAGCAACAAGCCUGAAUCUGAAUUAACCCGUUUUAGAGAAACUGGACUCACUUUCACUCUAAUGGAAUCUUACAUUAUGUUAACCAAAUUCAAUCACUGCAUUUGAGAAUUUCACAUUCAGACAGAAAUUAUUCAAAUAAUUUUUUUAUAUUUCUGCCAGUCGAGGUUCUUGAACUUGAGUAAGUUUGUACUUCCAUCAUGUUUCCUUCCAAUCUGACCUGAUGUUUUUUUAUUGUCGCUGUUUAAUUUACAGAACUGACCUUUAAAUCUGAGUUCAGUGGCUCAGACCUGUGUGAGGUUUAACUGAGAACCGAUUCACUCUCACUGCAUUGAUUUAAAGAAAUGGAAACCCACCGCCACCACGUCCACCGCCAUGCCGGCCGCUUCACGUGUCUGUGGAACAACUAAAGACUAAAAACUAAAAGAUGUCAACGCUGGCUGGAGGGUUGUCAGAGUGAAAGAGCAUCGGUCACUUUACGUUGAGAUGAUUUCCUGUUUUCUUUCUUUUCGUUUGAGGAAUGAUUCUGACGCCGCUUCCUAAUACUGAGAGCUUUGUUCUGAUUGGUUGAUGUGGUUAGAAACAGGAAGCGAGUUGCUGUGACUGACGCCAUGAUGACACAAAGAUUGUUUUUUCUUUUUGUACAUUUUGAGGUGUUUUUUUCUGUUUUUGUUGAGCUGUUUUGACUCGCAGGGCGGCUUCAACCAGUCUGAUCAUCUUUAACUGCUGACGUCAAGGUGAUGAUGUCACAUUUUUACUCAAUCUUUAUUUAAACGACGCCGGCAGUUACAGGUUCAAACCAAGUCUUUGCUCGUGUUUAUGAAACUAAACUUGAAGGAAAACUAUAUAAACCAUGUGCUUAAAUCUACCCUUCACAUUUGUACUUUCUCUCUUUUAAAACAAUCCCUCAGUGCUUCAUUGUUCUACACAUAAAAGUUAAUUUUAUUCAAAUCUUCAGCAGAAAGAAACACGAUACGAGCAACAGUUUUUGUUUUGACUGGUCAGGAUGGUGUUACAGACCUUAAAUAUAAUGAUGCUGUUCGUGAAAUUUUACUUCCAGAAACAGCUGCUGUUCUUUUCACUAGUCCACACUGAGUUGUGGGUAUUUCUAACUGGUCAGAAAAACUUCACUGAUAUCUGGAAUAAAAACUCUCCUCACCAAUCAGAGCGACAUCGUUGAUCAUUUUAUUUAUAACUGGCCAUACUGAUUGUAAAUUAAAAUGCCAAAUUUAUUCUUGUUGUUGGUUUGCAGUCUGAUUGAUCCCAAAUAAAAAUCCUGUCAAGCGCUUAAAUACAAAAAAUGGCCUCUAUUUUUAAUUUUAAUGCUUCAGUGAAUGUAUUACCCUGUCAGAUCAGUUCAGAGAGGUAAAAAAAGUUUAAUUAUUUAACCCUCCUGUUGUCCUCAUUUAUGGACACCAAAAAAUAUUGUUUCCUUGCCUGAAAAAAAUCCCAAAAUUUAGCAAAAAAUUCCCCAAAUUUCUGAAAAUUUGCAAAACCUUCAGGAAGAAUAUUCCAACAAUUCCUGAAAAGUUUCCCUUAAAAGUUUUAUUAAAAAAAAAAAAAAAAAAAAAAGAAGUCCCCCAAAUUUGGCAAGAAAAUUCUUGUAAAUAUUUAAAAAAAAAAAAAAAAAAGUAAAAAAUCUUCCAAAAAAACCCUAAAAAUAUCUAAAGUGAUUCCAUAUAUAUCAGUAAAACUUAUAUUUUCUUUAAGAACAUUCACAAAAAAAAUCAACCAAAAUCCAGCGAAAUGUAGGAUUAAAGUUUUCUCUUUACAUUUUAAUUUACACUUUUUACUUUUUGUAGUUUGAUAAGUACGAGCCGAAAGGUCAGAGGUCAGACAGAGGUCAGACAGAGGUCAGAGGUCAGACAGAGGUCAGACAGAGGUCAGACAGAGGUCAGAGGUCGUAGGUGGUCCUGGUUGACGUCUGCGGUUUGAAGCCGUCCUGCUGCUCUAUUUGCUGAACACUGAAUGAUUAAUAUUCUAGUUGCUGUUGUCAUUUUCACAUGUUGCUGCUGUAACAGACGAAUGGUGACAUGAUGAUUAACCAGGAGUUACAAUAAAGAACAUUUCUAUCGGCUUCAGGAGACUCUGUGGUCGUCAUUAGUUCCAGUCGACUCAAGGAAACUUGCAAAACAAGUCUGAUGUACCAUUU